rnacentral:lncRNA from 1 species
UCAACUGGAUGCAAAUUGUGAGAUUCUUCUAAGCGCUAGGUCCCAAUCGUCAGGUUAUUUUUUCACAGCUUGUGACUCAUUGAUAUACCAAUCAGAAAACACAUUUAAAAUAUAUUCAACUAACUCAUUGAUAUACCAAUUAGAAAACAGAUUUAAAAUAUAUUCAACUAACAUCCAAACUCAGUUUAUUACAAUAUUCCACACAAUCACAAUAUAACCAUACAAUAUUCCACCAAUCACAAUACAACACAUAAAACGCUCAACAAGUAUAGGAACGUCUCCAACACCUUAUAGUGCCUUCAACCUGCAAAACAUCAACAUCCAUCCACAUAUUAACCAUUGAGUUGAGAUCAAUUCACCCCUUGACGGAAAUAAGAAUAUGCGCUCAUGUAUGAACAAAACUAAAAUAAACAAACUUUGAGGCCAUAGCAUGUGCUACAAAAAUGUUAACAAUUUUUUUAAUAAUUUGUGGUAGCUUGUUCAAAUUCUACUGCAAGGAUUUCAGAUAUGUAUGUAUACUCAAAGUUUCAUAGAUAUUUGUGUGCAAAAUUAAUCUCCCGGUUUCAGAUACGUGUGUAUGCAAACUUAAUCGAUUCCUGGUGCUACUCCUAGUGCACACUUAUUAGAUAUACAGAAAUCAUGGUUAAAAUUCACAUGUACAUGUCCUGGUCCAGUCAAUCACUUACCUUCGUGAUUGCAUCCAUGUCAUGAAGCAGGACAUGGCUGAAUUGGCCUUCACUCACACCAACCAUGUAUAUGAGAAUGAUCAGUCAGCCAAUGAGGUCCAUUGAUUGCACAAGAUGAAAAGAACAUCCUGAAUUUGGGCACAUAUAUACCUAUAGAAAUAGCAGCAUCUCAAUCACUGUAUAAUCAGCAAGCACACAUAGCAGCAGUAAUAAGAACUCUCUGAAUCACAAACACUAAUCAGCACCCCUCUAUGCCAAUCUAUCUCCAACGGAUGAAACAACAAUAUCUCACUCAUCUCAGACGAAUCCUCUCCCAUCUCCCUCUCUCUGAAUCUCAUAUCACCUGAAGCAUAACAUGAGCUCGUUAAUAGACCAACCAAUUUCAUGUUUUUUCUAAUAAAAAGGAAGAGCCAAACUGUAUCUUAUCAUAUGAGGAGAAGAAAAAUAUAAGGGGUCAUACUUAUUCUGCGCCUAUUACGCUGGACCACACCACAUCUUCCAACAUGCUAUCCAAGACUAGCACUAGAAGAUGAAACACACAUAAUGUGUGUGAUGAACAACGGGUUUUAAGGCCAAACACACAUCAGGACGCUGAUAUAAGCCGACGGUACAUUCCCCACGGAGGAGGGAAACUGAGGAAUAAGCCAGCAGCCCCCUCACCUCCAGUACAAGGCUGUUCUCCGGAGAUAUAUGAGAAAGGCAAGCAUCGCGACCCUGCCAUUUACUCGAAGCUACGGGACACACACAGGAUAAAUAAAGAGAAAAACCAACAUCCCCUUUCUUUGCUCCCUUGAGCGUUGGCACAUAAUAAUGCGCUUGAUUGGGACAUGGGUUAACUGAAAUGUUGUGACGUGGUAAUUCCAUGAUGGAGGAAGUACUAGCUAGUACUCCCUCAGUUCCUAAAUAUAUGUCUUUUUAGAGGUUCCACUAGUGGGCUAUAUAUGGUUAUAUAUAGACAUACUUUAGAGUGUAUAUUCAUUCAUUUUACUCCGUAUGUAGACCCCUAGUGAAAUCUUUUAAAAGACUUAUAUUUAGGAACGGAGGGAGUACAUACACACAUGUCACACCGAGACAGAAUCCCCACACCCGCUCUGUUUACCGAAUGGAGGGAGGAAGUGACGAGAUCCCCUGUCCAUCCCUGUUGAGGGCUCAGCACCAUGCAGCACGGGCGGACCUAACGAGGCUCGCAGGUUGGGUUCAAGAUUCCGAGGGUACGGCUGGGUAGGGUUAGCAUGUCGCACCGCUAGAAGUAAAAGAAACAAAACAAGAGGGAAAAAAUAACGGAGAAGGAAGGGAGCAUAUCGGAUGAACCAGCCCAACGGAUGAAGAAGCAGCAAGCAAAUAUAGAGGCAUCUCCCUCUUGGCUCUCUCCCCACCCCCAAAUCGAGCCCACCGUCGCUCCCGUCAUCCCCUUCAACAGCGGCAAUGAGUCUGGGACACAUGUCCAUCCCGCUCGGCUCUCUCCCCACCGCAGGGGAUACAUCGCAUCCCCGUGUGCAGCCCCGGCGACCGUGGCACGCCCUCUAUCUACAUCCUGGCAGUGUCGCCUCUCCCUCCUCCAACUUUCUAUGCUUUGCUCGAUCUAAGAGAAAAUCAAGGGUAGGACGGACCUGUGAUGCGGAGGACAUGACGUGGUGACGGGAACGAUCUGCCCGGAGGUGGAGGCGGGAAUGAUCUGCUAUUUGUACUCCUUGAGACGCGCCUUGAGCUCAUGGUCCUCCUCCGACUGCGAAAGGCUUGAAACACGAGUCACGCGACCACACCCGUAAGAGAGAGGAUGAGUGGCGCCCCCGCCCCAUGGGAAGAAAGCAGAGGAAGAGAAGGGGGGAAGCUCUGGGGUCGUCGUUGCUCACCGGGUUGUCCCCCUUCGUCUUCCCCUUUCCCUUGGCCGGCUGUGGCAGGGCGUGGGAGGCGGCAUGAACUCUGUCGCCGCCACUAGCAUCCUCGUGCGACGAGGGAGAGCAGAUUAGGAUUUGGAUCUCCGUCUGGAUCGGGGGAGGAUAGGGACUGAGGGAGGAGGCGGCGGAAGGAAGUUAAACGAGGGAGCAGAGGGUGUCGUGCACUGCGUUUAGGUUUAGCUAUAUGAGAGGCGAGUGAGAGGCGAGUGAGAGACGUUGGAUCCGCAG